GGGGCUGUACUGGUUUCGACAGCAAAGUUCUUUGUAGGUAUAAGCAUGCAGUGCGUUGGAUAAUUAGCACUUAAAUCUGAAUAUUCAAAACCCAAAUGGCAAUACUCAGUAUGCCAUGGCUGCUUAAUCAGUGAUUAAGUAACCAUUCGGGCCGUGAAACAGGUUGUCCUGUUACCAAGUUUCGCCGCCGACUCAAACUAAACACAGGAUGCUGUUUCAGAAGGCUGUGACUGCGACAAAAGACUAUUCAGCUAAGGUUAAAAUUGGUUUGUUCACUUCCGGUUUUUCCUCGACAAUUAAUAAUGAACUAAGCAUGUAGAAGACUUAUGGCGGAUUUGUUUGGACAGGGGUUCGACUCCCCUCAGCUCCACCC
rnacentral:tmRNA from 1 species